AGUGUUGUGUUGGCCUAUAUGGUGUUCGUUAAAACUAUCCUCAUGGGUAGUAUAGUGUAAAAUGUUGUUCAAUUCUGAAAUUUUGUUUUUGCUUGGGAGUUCGUAAUACUGAUUUAUUUGAGUAAUAUGUAAUACUAAAUUAGUGACAAUACACUUAAAAACACAGGACAUACUUAUCCAGAUUCCAUCUUUUGGACCACGUCCAUAGAAUGAGUGAGUGCAACGACAAGGUUCCUAUAUGGCGGGUUGUGUUACUAUUUAUAGUAUGCCUGGCCGUCUAUUUAUAUCUGUACACGAAUGCCUUCGAUGGAAUGCAGAAUUCUUCAGUGUUCCGGGUUGUUGAAGGAGAUUUGCAGGCUGUGUGGAAAGACAAGUUUGGGUCCGUUUCAUACUAUCUAAAACUAAUGGAACAGUCCGAUAAGAGUCUGAAAAUAGAAGUCUCUGCAUCUGAUUCAAAAUCAACUUCCGCCACAACACGACCGCCAAGCACUGCAGCAAAACAAACGAAAGACGACUCGGCUCGUGUAAAUACUACAUUGUUGGAGAAAUUAAAGUCUGAAAUUUUAGCAAAUAAUUCGGAACCUUUACUCACGCUCUUUACGUCAUGGAAUGAUAGUCCAGAAAAAUAUUUGGUGCAUAAUUUAACGUUAUACAACUGGAAGGCGUUACGCCCGUUUGUGAUACCGGUGAUUUUUACAAACGAGAGCUCAGUCGCAGAUGAAUGCACAAAAAAUGGUUGGGAAGCAAGACAUAUCAGUGUGGCAGCAGCAGACGGUAUUCCUGUUUUAAAAUACAUGUACAAAGACGUGAUGGAUAAUUAUAAUUCUACGUUUUACGCGUAUAGUAACGGUGAUAUUUUAUUUACUGAUACGCUCAUAAAUACGUUAUUUUAUGUGAGAAAUUCAAGUUUAGAUUUAGAUAAACCUGUAAUGAUGGUUGGCCAGAGAAGCAAUGUCGAUAAUGUGACAGAAUCCGAAGGAUCUACUUGGGGUAAUAUCACAAAAAUAGCGAAGGAGCGGGGUAAACUGUUCACCGGUUGGGCGGAGGACUACUUUAUAACUCCGCGCUCAUUUCCGUGGAAUGAUAUAGCGGAAGUUGUAAUAGGGCGGAGAGCAUACGAUAACUGGUUGGUUUAUAAUUCUAGAAAAUCCAAACAUUCUGUGAUCGAUAGUACAAAAACUCUUCUUGCUGUGCACCAGACGACAAAAGCUGGCAAUUUUGAAGGUCAUGGCCAUAAAAAUAGAGACUACAAUCACAAUUUAUUAGUUAAGAUGUACAAACGUAUAAAAUAUAACGCUGGCGUUAUAGAAUGUGUUGAGAGAUAUACAGCCUACGAAAACGGUAUUGUUGUUGUUAAAUCCAGAGUAGUUCACAAAUCAUGCGCAGUUUGAUAAUAGGGCAUAUACGUUCGCACCUCACCUAUCACGCGAUAAAACUAUUAGGCGACUCCCACCUGCAGGUAACCUGAUUAAUUACCAGCGGAGAGCGACAACAAUAAAUAUGACAACUCGCUUUAUAUAAUAAUGAAGUUCUUUUUGUCAAUGGAGGAAUCAGUCAAGCUCCUGUGGAGGUUCCUCAAGUGUAUAACAUAUACUUAACGCAAUUUUUCCAUAAUUGUUAUAGCAUCCUAAAAAUUACCCUGUUUGUCAGUCUUGAAAAAUGUCACAUAUUUUGAAAUUCCUAAAUAUAGUUUUAGAAGAAUAGAAUUUUAUUCAUUUUACCACAACAGUCAAUUUAUAAAAAAAAUGUAUAUUUUUAAACUGAAAACGGAACGAGGUCGUAAACAGUCUUAAAUACUUCGAUCCCAUGUUUUAUGUUGCUGAUACCAUUGUCAUGGUUGUACUGUUAUUUUUUAAUAAUGUUAUUGUAUGUCGUCAGGUAUUCAGUUGACAUAAUUUGCGCCAAUAUGAAGUUCAUGUUUUAUGUACUCAGAAAUGGUGUUUUGCGGAGCAAGUUAUUGUUACUGCAAGCUUUAUUUUUGUUGAGCAAUAUAGUCAGAUUUAUUGCAGGGAUGUUUCUUGUUAAAACUAUUUAAUAUGGUAAUUUUAUAAGGUUUUUGGUUCAUUUUUAGUCACAAUUAUGUAAGAUUCCUACUUUUGUUAAUUAAAAGUAAACAUUUAUUGAAUGGUUUGCCGGUCAAUAGUUAAGACUACAGAUCAGCAAACCAUUCAGUGUGCGUAUCAUUAAUACAUGACAUAAGAAUUUCAUUUGUACAUUUUUUUUAUUUUACAUUUUUUGAUUUCUUAGUCUAGUAAACAUUCGUCAUUAAAGCACAAUUCACGGACGGGUGAUUCAUGUAAGACGUCUCUCAUGUAAUAAAAACUUGGACAUCAGGCAAUAGUUUUUAACUGUUGACCGGCAAGCCAUUAAACAAUUUUUGCCAUUAUGACGAUUGAAUUUGUAAAUCAUAGAUUAUCGUUUUCAAUGACUGAGUUGAGUGCGGUCGUUUUCGGCCUGCUUGGAACUUAGUAUUUUACUGUUUACUUAUCUUUACCUAAAUUAUUUUAUCAAUGUCACUGGAACAAUCUUAUCAAAUAUAUUUAACUUGGCUAAAUAAACUGAAUAUGCACAGCUGCAUGUCAUAAAAGCCAUUUGUUACUGACAAUACAUUUUCAUACAGUGUUCAAUUAAAAUCUAAAACCAAGUUAUUAAAACAAUAAAUUCACGACCCGGUUGUAAAGAUUCAAGAUUUUCAGAAAUUCGCUUUUUGUAAGACGUUAGCAAACCAUCGGGAAUCCCUAGUGUUUUCAUAGCCGUGGGUGACCAUUCCUUUAGCUGAGGUAACUGUGGCGACGGAAUUCUAUUUUAAAAAAAGACCAACAUGCAAUUUAUGGACAAAGUUGUGAAAACAUUUUAGUCACAAAUUUUGCUUACUAUGUUAAAACAUGUUGGAAUUAUUUGAAUAUACAUAUAUUUGCAACAGAAGGAUUAAAUUGCAAUAAUGAAUAAAAGGCUACUGGCCAUCAUUUACAACACAUAGAUAGAAGUAGCACACCUGUGUAGUAGGGAGUCGAAUUCAAACAAUGAAGAUCUGAAAGAUACAGUGGAUUAUUUUUCAUUAGCACGUGUUAUGAUUAGCACGUGUUAUGCGUGCCAUUUUAUAUUAAUUGCUCGCAUGCAGGUAAAAUUAGUGAUUUUUGAAGUUUGUUAAGGCUUGCACUUGGUAAAAAGGAAUUUUAAAAACGAAAACACCGGAAACACUGUUUAUUUUUUCCCUUAUCAAGUUUGACUGAAUACAGUAUAUAUUUGAAUAUUGUGUUGUCAAGGGAGACGGGUUCUGGGUUCAAGGUCAUAAACUAAGUGUGAAGAUCAAUUUUAAAACUGGUUGCUUCUGAUGCUGGUCUUCUCUGAUGAAAGCGUACAAAAAUGUCAAAGACAGGUUAUCAAUUUAAAUGUUUUUACAUUAUACAUGGGACCAAACUAUUUUGUUUAUAGAGAGCCCAUACUUCCUGCAUACAAACUAAGUCUUGUAAAAUGUGCUUUUAAAUGGACAGGCCUCCAGUUGAAAAUGAAAAUUUCAUUUUUUUUACAAAAGUAGACAGCAGUUGAUAUUAGAUAUCGAAAAUGAUAACCCAGAAUUAUUAAUGUGUAUCAUAUAAAAUACAGCUAUAUUUCUUCGACUUUGCAUCAAAUUUGAAUAGCGUUACUGACAGUUUUGAGAGAUAUUUUUACAUAUCUGUAUCAAAACAGUGUUUUUAUAGAUAAAAAGUGUUUAAAAUGUACAGCAUUAUUUUGUUUUUCUUUUUAUUGCAUUUACUAUUUAAUGAAAGCAUUAAUUUUGUUUUUCAAAUUUCUAAAAUAAUUGACAUAAAUCUGCAGACGUGCAGCUUUAAUCUUGUUAUACCAGAAAUAUUUUAUAUUUGAGUGGUUAAAUUGAUUGAUGUUUUAUUGUAUAUUAGAUCUAUAUAAUACAGAGAAUGGAGGUCUUUCAAUACGACAAAUAAAGUUUUAUUAAUUGUA